rnacentral:rRNA from 1 species
CCUACGGGUGGCUGCAGUGAGGAAUAUUGGUCAAUGGACGCAAGCCUGAACCAGCCAUGUAGCGUGCAGGAUGACGGCCCUACGGGUUGUAAACUGCUUUUAUACGGGGAUAACCCCCGAUACGCGUAUGUCUCUGCAUGUAUCGUACGAAUAAGGACCGGCUAACUCCGUGCCAGCAGCCGCGGUAAUACGGAGGGUCCAAGCGUUAUCCGAAUUUAUUGGGUUUAAAGGGUGCGUAGGCGGUCGGAUAAGUUAGAGGUGAAAUGCCGAGGCUCAACUUGGGCCUUGCAGCUGAUACUGGGCGGCUUGAGAGGAGGGGCGGUAGGCGGAAUGCAUGGUGUAGCGGUGAAAUGCUUAGAGAUCACACAGAACACCGAUUGCGAAGGCAGCUUACUAAG